GACGAACGCUGGCGGCGUGCCUAAUACAUGCAAGUCGAGCGGACUUGAAGAGAAGCUUGCUUCUCGGAUAGUUAGCGGCGGACGGGUGAGUAACACGUAGGCAACCUGCCUGUAAGAUCGGGAUAACUACCGGAAACGGUAGCUAAGACCGGAUAAUCGGUUUCUUCGCAUGGAGAGACUGUGAAACACGGAGCAAUCUGUGGCUUACGGAUGGGCCUGCGGCGCAUUAGCUAGUUGGUGAGGUAACGGCUCACCAAGGCGACGAUGCGUAGCCGACCUGAGAGGGUGAACGGCCACACUGGGACUGAGACACGGCCCAGACUCCUACGGGAGGCAGCAGUAGGGAAUCUUCCGCAAUGGACGCAAGUCUGACGGAGCAACGCCGCGUGAGUGAUGAAGGUUUUCGGAUCGUAAAGCUCUGUUGCCAGGGAAGAACGCCAAGGAGAGUAACUGCUCUUUG
rnacentral:rRNA from 1 species